rnacentral:rRNA from 1 species
UGGAGGUCCGCACCAAUAAGCGUUGAAAAGCUUCUGGAUGAGCUGAGGGUAGGGGUGAAAGGCUAAUCAAACUUGGAGAUAGCUCGUACUCCCCGAAAUGCAUUUAGGUGCAGCCUCGAGGAUUACUGAUGUGAGGUAGAGCGACUGAUUGGAUGCGAGGGCUUCACCGCCUAUCAAGUCCUGACAAACUCCGAAUGCGCAUCAGUU